rnacentral:rRNA from 1 species
AUUGAACGCUGGCGGCAGGCCUAACACAUGCAAGUCGAACGCGUGGCGGACGGGUGAGUAAUGUAUGGGAAACUGCCCGAUGGAGGGGGAUAACUCCUGGAAACGGUAGCUAAUACCGCAUACCAUCGGAUGUGCCCAGAUGGGAUUAGCUUGUAGGGGAGGUAACGGCUAACCUAGGCGACGAUCCCUAGCUGGUCUGUGAGGAUGACCCGCAACACUGGAACUGAGACACGGUCCAGACUCCUACGGGAGGCAGCAGUGGGGAAUAUUGCACAAUGGGCGCAAGCCGUAUGCAGCCAUGCCGCGUGGAUGAAGAAGGCCUUCGGGUUGUAAAGUACUUUCAGCAGGGAAGCGGUACACGCAGAAGAAGCACCGGCUAACUCCGUGCCAGCCGCCGCGGUAAUAC